UACGUAGGCAGCAAGCGUUGUUCGGAAUUACUGGGCGUAAAGGGUGCGUAGGCGGCUCUGUAAGUAUCGUGUGAAAUCUCCCGGCUUAACUGGGAGGGUGCGCGAUAAACUGCGGGGCUCGAGUGUGGGAGAGGAAAGUGGAAUUCCUGGUGUAGCGGUGAAAUGCGUAGAUAUCAGGAGGAACACCGGUGGUGUAAACGGCUUUCUGGACCAUAACUGACGCUGAGGCACGAAAGCGUGGGUAGCAAACAGG
rnacentral:rRNA from 1 species